GGGUUGUGAGGUUAAGCGACUAAGCGUACACGGUGGAUGCCCUGGCAGUCAGAGGCGAUGAAGGACGUGCUAAUCUGCGAAAAGCGUCGGUAAGGUGAUAUGAACCGUUAUAACCGGCGAUGUCCGAAUGGGGAAACCCAGUGUGAUUCGUCACACUAUCGUUAACUGAAUACAUAGGUUAACGAGGCGAACCGGGGGAACUGAAACAUCUAAGUACCCCGAGGAAAAGAAAUCAACCGAGAUUCCCCCAGUAGCGGCGAGCGAACGGGGAGCAGCCCAGAGUCUGAAUCAGCUUGUGUGUUAGUGGAACGGUCUGGAAAGUCCGACGGUACAGGGUGAUAGUCCCGUACACCAAAAUGCACAGGCUGUGAACUCGAAGAGUAGGGCGGGACACGUGGUAUCCUGUCUGAAUAUGGGGGGACCAUCCUCCAAGGCUAAAUACUCCUGACUGACCGAUAGUGAACCAGUACCGUGAGGGAAAGGCGAAAAGAACCCCGGCGAGGGGAGUGAAAAAGAACCUGAAACCGUGUACGUACAAGCAGUGGGAGCACCUUCGGGUGUGACUGCGUACCUUUUGUAUAAUGGGUCAGCGACUUAUAUUCUGUAGCAAGGUUAACCGUAUAGGGGAGCCGCAGGGAAACCGAGUCUUAACUGGGCGUUAAGUUGCAGGGUAUAGACCCGAAACCCGGUGAUCUAGCCAUGGGCAGGUUGAAGGUUGGGUAACACUAACUGGAGGACCGAACCGACUAAUGUUGAAAAAUUAGCGGAUGACUUGUGGCUGGGGGUGAAAGGCCAAUCAAACCGGGAGAUAGCUGGUUCUCCCCGAAAGCUAUUUAGGUAGCGCCUCGUGAACUCAUCUUCGGGGGUAGAGCACUGUUUCGGCUAGGGGGUCAUCCCGACUUACCAACCCGAUGCAAACUACGAAUACCGAAGAAUGUUAUCACGGGAGACACACGGCGGGUGCUAACGUCCGUCGUGAAGAGGGAAACAACCCAGACCGCCAGCUAAGGUCCCAAAGUCAUGGUUAAGUGGGAAACGAUGUGGGAAGGCACAGACAGCCAGGAUGUUGGCUUAGAAGCAGCCAUCAUUUAAAGAAAGCGUAAUAGCUCACUGGUCGAGUCGGCCUGCGCGGAAGAUGUAACGGGGCUAAACCAUGCACCGAAGCUGCGGCAGCGACACUAUGUGUUGUUGGGUAGGGGAGCGUUCUGUAAGCCUGCGAAGGUGACCUGUGAGGGUUGCUGGAGGUAUCAGAAGUGCGAAUGCUGACAUAAGUAACGAUAAAGCGGGUGAAAAGCCCGCUCGCCGGAAGACCAAGGGUUCCUGUCCAACGUUAAUCGGGGCAGGGUGAGUCGACCCCUAAGGCGAGGCCGAAAGGCGUAGUCGAUGGGAAACAGGUUAAUAUUCCUGUACUUGGUGUUACUGCGAAGGGGGGACGGAGAAGGCUAUGUUAGCCGGGCGACGGUUGUCCCGGUUUAAGCAUGUAGGCUGGUUAUCCAGGCAAAUCCGGAUAAUCAAGGCUGAGGUGUGAUGACGAGGCACUACGGUGCUGAAGUAACAAAUGCCCUGCUUCCAGGAAAAGCCUCUAAGCAUCAGGUAACAUCAAAUCGUACCCCAAACCGACACAGGUGGUCAGGUAGAGAAUACCAAGGCGCUUGAGAGAACUCGGGUGAAGGAACUAGGCAAAAUGGUGCCGUAACUUCGGGAGAAGGCACGCUGGUGUGUAGGUGAAGCCCCUGCGGGUGGAGCUGAGACCAGUCGAAGAUACCAGCUGGCUGCAACUGUUUAUUAAAAACACAGCACUGUGCAAACACGAAAGUGGACGUAUACGGUGUGACGCCUGCCCGGUGCCGGAAGGUUAAUUGAUGGGGUUAUCCGUAAGGAGAAGCUCUUGAUCGAAGCCCCGGUAAACGGCGGCCGUAACUAUAACGGUCCUAAGGUAGCGAAAUUCCUUGUCGGGUAAGUUCCGACCUGCACGAAUGGCGUAAUGAUGGCCAGGCUGUCUCCACCCGAGACUCAGUGAAAUUGAACUCGCUGUGAAGAUGCAGUGUACCCGCGGCAAGACGGAAAGACCCCGUGAACCUUUACUAUAGCUUGACACUGAACAUUGAGCCUUGAUGUGUAGGAUAGGUGGGAGGCUUUGAAGCGUGGACGCCAGUCUGCGUGGAGCCAACCUUGAAAUACCACCCUUUAAUGUUUGAUGUUCUAACGUUGGCCCCUGACCGGGGUUGCGGACAGUGUCUGGUGGGUAGUUUGACUGGGGCGGUCUCCUCCCAAAGCGUAACGGAGGAGCACGAAGGUUAGCUAAUCCUGGUCGGACAUCAGGAGGUUAGUGCAAUGGCAUAAGCUAGCUUGACUGCGAGCGUGACGGCGCGAGCAGGUGCGAAAGCAGGUCAUAGUGAUCCGGUGGUUCUGAAUGGAAGGGCCAUCGCUCAACGGAUAAAAGGUACUCCGGGGAUAACAGGCUGAUACCGCCCAAGAGUUCAUAUCGACGGCGGUGUUUGGCACCUCGAUGUCGGCUCAUCACAUCCUGGGGCUGAAGUAGGUCCCAAGGGUAUGGCUGUUCGCCAUUUAAAGUGGUACGCGAGCUGGGUUUAGAACGUCGUGAGACAGUUCGGUCCCUAUCUGCCGUGGGCGCUGGAGAAUUGAGGGGGGCUGCUCCUAGUACGAGAGGACCGGAGUGGACGCAUCACUGGUGUUCGGGUUGUCAUGCCAAUGGCACUGCCCGGUAGCUAAAUGCGGAAGAGAUAAGUGCUGAAAGCAUCUAAGCACGAAACUUGCCCCGAGAUGAGUUCUCCCUGAGACUUUAAGUCUCCUGAAGGAACGUUGAAGACGACGACGUUGAUAGGCCGGGUGUGUAAGCGCAGCGAUGCGUUGAGCUAACCGGUACUAAUGAACCGUGAGGCUUAACCUUACAACGCCGAAG
rnacentral:rRNA from 2 species